GGAUGGCGCUGUAGCGUCGUGCCUAUACUCGGCCGUCAACGGCACAGUGGGCGGCCCCUUUGCGGGGGUCGGGCCGUUAAGCCUUGACGAGUAGGAGGGUCGCGGCGGUGUGCACUGAAGGGUCACGGCGUGAGCCGGCCUGGAGCCGCCGUCGGCGCAGAUCUUGGUGGUAGUAGCAAAUACUCCAGCGAGGACCUGGAGGACUGACGUGGAGAAGGGUUUCUUGUGAACAGCUGUUGCACAAGAGUCAGUCGACCCUAAGCCCUAGGAUAACUCUCACGUUGAUGGGGCGAAAGGGAAUCCGGUUCCUAUUCCGGAACCCGGUAGCGGAACCGUUCCAAAACGGGCCCUCGCGAGAGCUCGACGGGGCAACCCAAAGAGACCCGGAGACGCCGUCGGGAGAUCCGGAGAGAGUUUUCUUUUCUCUAUAAGCGUUCGAGUUCCCUGGAAUCCUCUAGCAGGGAGAUAGGGUUUGGAACGCGAAGAGCACCGCAGUUGCAGCGGUGUCCGGAUCUUCCCCUCGGACCUUGAAAAUCCGGGAGAGGGCUACGUGGAAUGUUCGCACCGGAUCGUACCCAUAUCCGCAGCAGGUCUCCAAGG
rnacentral:rRNA from 1 species